AUUGAACGCUGGCGGCAUGCCUUACACAUGCAAGUCGAACGGCAGCACGGGAGCAAUCCUGGUGGCGAGUGGCGAACGGGUGAGUAAAGUAUCGGAACGUGCCCAGUCGUGGGGGAUAACGUAGCGAAAGUUACGCUAAUACCGCAUACGAUCUAUGGAUGAAAGCGGGGGAUCGCAAGACCUCGCGCGAUUGGAGCGGCCGAUAUCAGAUUAGGUAGUUGGUGGGGUAAAGGCUCACCAAGCCGACGAUCUGUAGCUGGUCUGAGAGGACGACCAGCCACACUGGGACUGAGACACGGCCCAGACUCCUACGGGAGGCAGCAGUGGGGAAUUUUGGACAAUGGGCGCAAGCCCGAUCCAGCCAUGCCGCGUGCAGGAUGAAGGCCUUCGGGUUGUAAACUGCUUUUGUACGGAACGAAAAGGUUUGGCCUAAUAAGCUGAGCUCAUGACGGUACCGUAAGAAUAAGCACCGGCUAACUACGUGCCAGCCGCCGCGGUAACAC
rnacentral:rRNA from 1 species